ACGUGCUCACUUACACGAGUUAACUUCCUACUUCCCAUGAAUACUGAAUACACUUGUAAUGCAGAAACAGAAAGAUAACGGAACUCAGUUGCUAUUUUAGAAUACGCCUCGAUUAAUUUAGGCCCCAAACACGGUCUUAAAACUAAAAUAUUUCUCUAUAAAAACACCUAUCAGAUGUCGGCGCAGCAUGCCCAGGCAUGCAGCUGUGCGCGUAUACAAACACACGUAGCCUACAGUAGGCUAUAGAGAUGCAUCGUGAACAGAGAUGUCUUCUGGACUGCCAGAGAGUGAGAUUGGACAAUGCAGCAAUUUCAUAUCCACAUUAUGCAAUGAUUGGCUUCAGUAGAACAAGUUAAUACGGUAUCAGUAGCCAAACAAUACGACCGCGAGUCUCCAUACUGCAACAAGUGCGCACGCAGUUCAAUUAGCAGCCGGAAGCGGGUUGACGCACGAGCCCAUUAGUGGUUAUCAGGUGCUGUUGACGUUCAGCUGUUACGUCGUUGCGAACUUGGACUUGCUUGCCAAGUUACAGGUAAAGUCAAAGGUAACAGCAGCUUCACCACACAUGCACAACCAUUAAAUACGUAAAAUUAAAUUAAACUACUAUGGUUAAUUAAAAAGCCCUAGUUGUAGUUUUGCAGUGGUAAAUUUCAAAUUGCCUAUCAGGUUAUUAAUACUGAUGUAUUAUCCUUUGGGGCCAGCUGUGGAUGCAUUAUGUGUAUUAAUUUUAUUUAUGUGUGUUAAACUAAUGUUUAUAAUUAUGAUAUGCGUACCGUGCAUAAAUAUGACUGUUUCCAUUUUUGA